rnacentral:sRNA from 1 species
UUCAAGUUGAGAUUUGGUGAGGACACAGCCAAACCACAUCAGGCAACUUGUGCAAUUUUUUUCUUCUGUUGUUACUUAGGAUCUUCCUGUGAAUAUCAAAUUCAUCAUUGAGGGGAUGGAAGAGGCUGGCUCUGUUGCCCUGGAGGAACUUGUGGAAAAAGAAAAGGACCGAUUCUUCUCUGGUGUGGACUACAUUGUAAUUUCAGAUAACCUGUGGAUCAGCCAAAGGAAGCCAGCAAUCACUUAUGGAACCCGGGGGAACAGCUACUUCACGGUAGAGGUGAAAUGCAGAGACCAGGAUUUUCACUCAGGAACCUUUGGUGGCAUCCUUCAUGAACCAAUGGCUGAUCUGGUUGCUCUUCUAGGUAGCCUGGUAGACUCGUCUGGUCAUAUCCUGGUCCCUGGAAUCUAUGAUGAAGUGGCUCCUCUUACAGAAGAGGAAAUAAAUACAUACAAAGCCAUCCAUCUAGACCUAGAAGAAUACCGGAAUAGCAGCCGGGUUGAGAAAUUUCUGUUCGAUACUAAGGAGGAGAUUCUAAUGCACCUCUGGAGGUACCCAUCUCUUUCUAUUCAUGGGAUCGAGGGCGCGUUUGAUGAGCCUGGAGCUAAAACAGUCAUACCUGGCCGAGUUAUAGGAAAAUUUUCAAUCCGUCUAGUCCCUCACAUGAAUGUAUCCGUGGUGGAAAAACAGGUGACACGGCAUCUUGAAGAUGUGUUCUCCAAAAGAAAUAGUUCCAACAAGAUGGUUGUUUCCAUGACUCUAGGACUACACCCGUGGAUUGCAAAUAUUAACGACACCCAGUAUCUCGCAGCAAAAAGAGCGAUCAGAACAGUGUUUGGAACAGAACCAGAUAUGAUCCGGGAUGGAUCCACCAUUCCAAUUGCCGAAAUGUUCCAGGAGAUCGUCCACAAGAGCGUGGUGCUAAUUCCGCUGGGAGCUGUUGAUGAUGGAGAACACUCGCAGAAUGAGAAAAUCAACAGGUGGAACUACAUAGAGGGAACCAAAUUAUUUGCUGCCUUUUUCUUAGAGAUGGCCCAGCUGCAUUAAUCACAAGAACCUUCUAGUCUGAUCUGAUCCACUGACAGAUUCAUCUCCCCCACAUCCCUAGACAGGGACGGAAUCUAAAUAUCCAGAGAAUUUGGGUCUAGUAUAGUACAUUUUCCCUUCCAUUUAAAAUGUCUUGGGAUAUCUGGAUCAAUAAUAAAAUAUUUCAAAGGCACAGAUGUUGGAAAUGGUUUAAGGUCUCCCACUGCACACCUUCCUCAAGUCAUAGCUACUUGCAGCAACUUGAUUUCCCCAAGUCCUGUGCAAUAGCCCCAGGAUUAGAUUCCUUCUAACCUUUUAGCAUGUCUCUGACCUUGCAAUUUGAUUGGCAUAAUCUCUAAGGUUUGCUUUCUAGGUCCUCAAGUGCUCGUGACACAUAAUCAUUCCAUCCAAUGAUCGCCUUUGCUUUACACUCUUUCCUUUUAUCUUAUUAAUAAAAAUGUUGGUCUCCACCACUGACUACAA